ACCUGAAAUCAAGCAAGAACACCCGCUGAACUUAAGCAUAUCAGUAAGCGGAGGAAAAGAAACUAACAAGGAUUGCCUUAGUAGUGGCGAAUGAACCGGCAAUAGCUCAAAGUGUAAAUCUGUGUCAUACAGGCAUAGAAUUGUAAUCUAAAGGCUUUUUAGGGAAGUCAUAGUUCUAGCAUAAGUUCCUUGAAAAGGGAUGCCAAAGAGGGUAAAAGCCCCGUGUUUGGUUAGAACUGGACGUACCGAAGGGCUCCAAGAGUCGGGUUGUUUGGGACUGCAGCCCUAAAUGGGAGAUAAACUUCUUCUAAAGCUAAAUAUUUAUGGGAAACCGAUAGCAAACAAGUACUACGAAGGAAAGAUGAAAAGAACUUUGAAAAGAGGGUUAAAAGACUUGAAAUCGUUGAAAAGAAAAGCGGUAGAAGAGAAAUGAUUUUGUCAAGAAGUAUGCGGCGUUGUGAGAGUCUUUUGUUCUGAUGGUACUUCAUAGGGCCUAGGGAUAAACUGGCUUUGCAUAGCUGCUUUUUCUUGGCAAAGUGCAAAAUGAGGUCUUGCUCGUGGAAAUGUCUCUGCAGAGGACGUUGACCUUGAUGUUGACAGCUGCGGUCUCAAA
rnacentral:rRNA from 1 species